GACGAACGCUGGCGGCGUGCUUAACACAUGCAAGUCGAGCGGUAAGGCCCUUUCGGGGGUACACGAGCGGCGAACGGGUGAGUAACACGUGAGCAACCUGCCCUUCACUUCGGGAUAAGCCUCGGAAACGGGGUCUAAUACCGGAUAUCACUCCUUACUUCAUGGUUUGGGUUGAAAGUUUUGGCGGUGGGGGAUGGGCUCGCGGCCUAUCAGCUUGUUGGUGGGGUAAUGGCCUACCAAGGCGUCGACGGGUAGCCGGCCUGAGAGGGCGACCGGCCACACUGGGACUGAGACACGGCCCAGACUCCUACGGGAGGCAGCAGUGGGGAAUAUUGCGCAAUGGACGGAAGUCUGACGCAGCAACGCCGCGUGAGGGAUGACGGCCUU
rnacentral:rRNA from 1 species